GAGAGAUACAUAAUACUGUGUUGCAAUGGAAUUUGAUAGCCGGCUGCUAGAAGUGAAAGCUGCUCUGGAGCAGUCUGAAGUGAAAAUGGGAGUGAAGUUGAAAUCAUUCGGAUUUUCCACUUCUGAAGGGACAAAAAAUCAAAUCAAUCUGUUAGUCGAAUCUCUGAGCAAAAUCAAAUUGAUGGCAAACAGUGAUGAAGAAGAUAAACGUAGAUUUCACCUUUUUCUCCUUGUUAAUACGGAAUUACCAGUUUCAAACAUUCUGGAAGAAGAUAGAGACUGGUGCCAUUUGAUUGGAAGAUGUCCAAAACUGAGUGCAUUUACUUACUUCAUUAUUGUACAGCGGUUAGAACUGUUUCCAUUAAUGGCCGAAACAAUUUUACAUGCACCUAACAAACUGAGCGAAGCCUUGUUGGCAGUAUUUACUGACUUUGUGAAGCACAUAUCGGAUCCUUACGAUGAACUUAAUGCACUUCGAGUUAUUUUAACAAGUGUCUACAAGAAACUUAGUUACAAAAUCUCCCUUCAGUCUUGUAAUACCAAGCUGAUAAAACAAUUUCAAGAAAUUGUACUAAUAUUCAAAAAACCAAGUCAGCUAACUGCUCAGAAAUUAGUGUCUUGGUCAAGUGUGGAGCAGCAUAAGUAUUACGGCUUUUUAGUUCUUAAUUUGAUUUCUCUCCUGUUAGAAUGCACAAAAUUCAGCUUCGAAAAGACUUCUACAGAAGACAGCUUACUUGAAUCUCUGAAUAAUUUAUAUGGUUUCUCAAGCUUUAAAGUUUCUUCUAAAGCUGCAGAGGAAGAUGAGAAUGAAAUAUCAGAGUGCUAUGAGGUAAUAGUUGCAAUCAGUAAAACAUUCUUGCAGGACAAAAUCAGUUCAAAUGUAUUUUUGGACUGGUGUGAAGUAGACAUCACUGAAACAAAGACGCUCCAGCGACUUGUCGGUGAGAAAAUAUAUAUUUGCCGUGAAGCCUUAACAGCUGCUUUAGAUUCCAAGCUUUCAAGUAAGAAUUUGAAAAAUUCUCUCAAAGAUCUAACUUACUGUUUGAGCCACCUGGAGAUAAAACCACUCUCUCUAGCUGAAGAAAUGAAAGAAAUGAAUUUUAAACAACUCUUGCUCAAAUUUGAUGAGACUGUCAAAACGAAUUCCUGUGAAGACAGUUCACGAGUUUUACAAACGAUCCUGAAAAGAGAGGAAGCUCACCUAGAGCCUGUAGAAAUUAUGAAGGUUUUGAAUAAAGCUGCUGUCAAUAUGAAGUAUGAAGAUAUCAAACUUUUGAUCCACACUUACAAUCCAAAAUCCAGUCAGAAUAUGGAGGAAACAUUCAGUCAAUUACAGAAAACUAUAUUUGAGUCUGUGAGGAACUUGCAGGUUGAUGAACAAGUUUCUUUACUAGAAGAGUAUCUCGUGGCUUACGGCGAUAGCCAACCUUACAACAAACAGUCGAUUAAUUUUGAUGAAAAGUUGGUAGAAGUUUUCAAUAAGUUCGUCUCCAGUGAUUUGUCCUCCACUGAGUCUCUGUUUUUGUCUGACAUUGUAUUCCUGAGCUUCUACUCCAUUGGAGAUGUUGUUGUAAAAAUUCUAAUGGAGUCCCUUCAAAAUACGAAUUACAUCAAGGAUAUGGUGCCAAUUUUGAAAGCUUUGAGACCAUCUUUACAGAGUAUCCAGUCUCUUAGUCUUGAGAAUAAGUUGAAAAUUACAUCAAAGAUUUCUGAGGAUUCAGAGAAAGUAAAGUCGACUCUAGAACAGUCCCACAAAGAUCUCUUACUGGACCUGCUGCAUAUUUUGAUCUUUGAUGAAGACACAAAACAAAAUGCGGCAAAACGUAGUAAUCUUUUGGACCUGGUCAAUUACUUGAUUGAUGAAUCUGUGAUAGAGAGGAAUACAUUUUAUGUCGAAGUGGUUCUAAACAAUAUCUACCUCAGCCCAAACACAUCUAAUGCAACUGUGAAUUUUCUUCUUCAAAUGUUAUUCAAAGCCCUGGUUGAAUCCUCAGAUGAAUCACUUGAAAUUGAAAUUAAUGCUGUGGUUAUUCAACUGGCCCAACUUCUCGAGAAAAUUCGAUGGGAUCCAAAGAAUUUUGCCUCUUGGCGCACAGCUAUGGUUUCAAAUUUGGUUUGCUUGAUUUCUUCUAUUGUGAAAAAGUUUUCCUCCCAGCUGUUAGCAGAUCCAAAAAAGUCCGCAUGGAUGAAAUCUCAUAUCAAGACAUUUUCGGCUCAAACACAGUUCCUAUUCUCCCCUGAAAUCCUUCCGCCUUCAUCAAUUGCAGCAAGUGUAUCGUACGGGAAAGAGCCAAAUGUCUUUGUCCUUGCUCUAAAUGCAAUGCACAAUGACAAAUUUGACUUGUCUGUUCUCAGUAAAAUCUCUAAAAUUGAGAUGGCCUGGGCAUUAUUUUCGACAUUGUCCACCAGCUGCGAUGAAGAAUGGAAUUUUUUCAGUCUAACUUUAAGCCGUAAUAAGCUGUUCAAUGGAGAGUCUGCACUCUUAAUCUUCAACUUACUAGUCAAUUCUUUCCUGGUGGGAAUUUAUACUUUGGAAAUGAAGCUCGGCGAGGACAACACUCAAAGUCGCCCGUUAACCAACUGUUGCCAGUAUGCCUUGGUCAACCUAAAUAGUUUCAUAAUGAACUUUUUAUUGAAACAUCUGUUGACACUUUCCACAUCCAAGAAAGUCCAUUGUUUUAGGAAGCUCGCUCUUCUUCUCCAGACAGUCCCAGCCAAAAUUAGAUCUCAGAUCUCAAUAUCAUACUUGAAAUUACUCAUAAGUUUUAUACCUCAUUUGGUUGACAGUAUUGACAGUAGUGCAAGUGCUGUAUUAUUCACGGAAAUCGUCUACAAUGCAAUUUGCAACUUUGAUCUGGAGACACGUCAGCUUAUCGCAAAAAAAGCUGAAUCAUACUUGCGUAAGGAAGCUCCAGCUGUGUUCUCUUAA
rnacentral:lncRNA from 1 species